rnacentral:rRNA from 1 species
GCUUGUCUCAAAGAUUAAGCCAUGCAUGUCUUAGUGUAAAUAACUCUUAUGAAACUGCGAAUGGCUCAUUAAAUCAGUUAUCGUUUAUUUGAUGGUCCCUUACUACAUGGAUAACCGUAGUAAUUCUAGAGCUAAUACAUGCACAAAGGCCCGACUCACGAAGGGCUGUAUUUAUUAGAUUUAAAGCCGACAUCUUUUGGUGAUUCAUAAUAACUAAGCGAAUCGCAUAGGCUUGCCUGGCGAUGGAUCUUUCAAGUUUCUGACCUAUCAGCUAUCGACGGUAGGGUAUUGGCCUACCGUGGCUAUGACGGGUAACGGAGAAUCAGGGUUCGAUUCCGGAGAGGGAGCCUGAGAAACGGCUACCACAUCUAAGGAAGGCAGCAGG